rnacentral:rRNA from 1 species
UACGAAGGGGGCUAGCGUUGCUCGGAAUCACUGGGCGUAAAGGGUGCGUAGGCGGGUCUUUAAGUCAGGGGUGAAAUCCUGGAGCUCAACUCCAGAACUGCCUUUGAUACUGAAGAUCUUGAGUCGGGAGAGGUGAGUGGAACUGCGAGUGUAGAGGUGAAAUGCGUAGAUAUCUGGAGGAACACCGGUGGCGAAGGCGGCUCUCUGGAACGCAACUGACGCUGAGACGCGAAAGCGUGGGGAGCAACAGG